GACAGAGGUCCCGAGCGUUAGGCGGAAUCACUGGGCUUAAAGCGUGUGUAGGCGGAGUUCUAAGUACCUUGUGAAAUCCCACGGCUCAACCGUGGAACUGCUUGGUAUACUGGUUCUCUUGAGCCACCUAGGGGCAACCGGAACAAACGGUGGAGCGGUGAAAUGCGUAGAUAUCUGGAGGAACACCGGUGGCGAAGGCGGAUCUCUGGGCCUUACCUGACGCUGAGGCGCGAAAGCUAGGGGAGCGAACAGG
rnacentral:rRNA from 1 species